UGGCCUCUUGUUCAACUCAGCUCCCAGUCCCACAUCAGCUGUGCCCUCUCCCAACCUAACCCAUUUCUACUGCAGUUCUUCACCCCCCUCGUCCGUGCAGGGGGUUGGCUCUGCAGCCCCUAAGGCACCUGCGUUAAUCACUGUCUCACAUACUGGGGCUAUUUAGAUGUCAGGGAAUGAUUUAUCAGAGUUACUGACUCAGAGGUGGGAGAGAGGAGAGGCUGAGAGGGAGUUUGCUCCCCACACUCUGUAGGGCCAUGUUCAACCCUGGUAACCUCCAUGUUACCUCAUCCUCCCCCCUCCCCCAUGGGUCUCUGCUCGUGUCAGUGUCACCUUCUGAUCACAAUGCCACUGGCCUCAGCAGAGCUCCCAGACAGGAGCUACAUCACGAUGGGGUUACGGUACUGAGAGUAAAAUACAUGACAGGGAGGGUGUAAUUGUCCUGAAAGGAAGUACUACAGUCCAGGAAGUGAAAGAAUUAAAAUAUUUAGUUACUUAAAAGUAUGCUUGAAAGGAUUGGAUUUUUAUUAAUAAAUUGCAGUAAAUGUUGAUUUCAUGUACACACACAGAUGACAAAAUAUUUAUAUUGGUAAAAUACAGAAAUGCUUCUGGAGAAAGUCCAGUUUGAUUUAAGGAUAUUUACACUGUAUAUUUUGCAUGUGACAUUGACAAUUUGUGUUUGAACAGUUAUAAAAAUUUGGCUUUGGGAAUCUCAUUUACCGUAAUUAAAUAAUUGUGGUCUGAUGACCCCCAUAACUUCCCACAGCUCUGAACAUUGAAAUUGUAAACAUUGAAAAAAGGGCUUAAAAUAAAUAUAUCAUCUAUUGAAAUUUAAAAAAAGAAAUAGACAAAAUGAAUUGAUGGAAGUUCACAGCUCAGGCACCCAAGCUUAAUUCUCCCCUGUAGUGACACCAGGCAAUCGCCAUAGGGCUACAAAUAAGGCAUUUUAGUGUAUAAAGUCCCAGAUUAGAUUAUACCGAUUUGUAAAGACACAUGAGAUCUCUCCCUCAGGGUGUCACCUUCACUGGGUUGUUUCUUUUAUUGGUAAUUCCCAGAAGUCAAUAGCUAAAUAACAUUCUAUCCGUUAUGAAGUGGCCAUUUCAGAUUUCUGGGGAGCGUCUAUUAUUUUGCACUAGGGGCCAGGUCCUUGGAGAGACAGAACCUUGGUUUCAUUUUAACUUCUCCAUGCUCACAGCUUCUGGAAUUUGGUUCAAAGUAUUUACAUGUUUCCCUGGCCUGUUCUUAAAAGUGCUGCUAUAGAAAGUGGGGAGGGGCAGGAACUCAUUGUAGGGUCAGUAGCCGAGUCCCUUAGAGAUUUAUAGCUCAUCGGAAGGAUGAUGGGGAUUGGUGGGUGUUUGUGGAUUUAAUAAUAAACACACAAAUAUCUUCGUUCUUAAUGAAUUUUCAUCUUCUAAUUCCCAUAACCACUAAUUAUCCCUGGCUGCCCCAGCAGUCUCGGGGAGGGAAUACUAGUAAGCUCCAGUGUGGAACCUAACGCACAAGGAUCUUUCUGUGGCUGGCUCAAAGUCACCCAGAGUGAAAUUCACUUCACUGGAUAAAUCCCUAGUUGCUGGGCUCUGCAAAGGGAUGAGGAGGUGAAUUCCAUCCCCCAUUCCUGGGCAUGGACCCCCUCUCCCCCCCCCCCGCCAAUCCUCACCCUGAUCUCAGACACUACCCCAACCUUCCCCUGCAGUGAUGGACCCACUUGAUGCUGCCAGAGCCAUCUGCCCAGCUCCAGAACUGCUACCCCUGCCCAGAGCUACCAUGCUAUGCUGGGGUUGCCCUGGCUUUCCAAUCUGCAGAUCGGUCCAGCUGUCUGGGGAUGUCGCCCAUGCACUCACCACACACAAACUUCCUCACAACUCACAUCCCAGGAUGGGGAAGGACCAUCUGGUGCUGGCUGCAGUCUCCCCUUGCUGCUGUAAGAGGAAUGGGGUGGUCCCUCAUAUAGAACACGGACAUACCCAGACGCAGAAGGGAAAUGUAGUUUCUUCCAGGGGCUUAUAAAUGUUUGGUUUAGAGUCCUGAGCUCUGUCUUCCUGUUUGUCUCCUGCCACUUUCAGAUCUCUUGGUAAGACAAGGUAAGUGAGGUCAUUUCUUUUAGAACCAAUUAAAAAUCCUUCUCUUUGAUAUCCUGGGACCAACAUUACCACAACAACUCUCUUCCGUUUGUACCCCCUCCCCCUCAGCUGAGACUGUCCCAUGUGAUGGGAAAAUAAGGGAUCAGUCCUGUAACUGGAUUGGGUCGUGCCAGCACUGAUGGGAGUGAAAGCCUGUGUGCAUUAAUGACAGCAGCAGCUCUAGGACCCAGAGACAUAGGGAGAAGAGAUGAGCAGGUUAUGUUUGUGCAGGGUGUGAAUUACUCGUGGGAAUUUUGCGCCACUGCAUAUGCACAGAAUUCACGUCCAGCACAGAAUUUUUCUUUUUUUUUUUUUUUUUUUGUCUUGAAGAAGAUGCAUUCUGCCUGGGAAGUGCUGCAGUUCUGCCUUUCAACCACUGAGGCCCCUGUAGCACCAGAACAGCCCACAGCCAGCUGGGUUCAUCUAGCUGGGAAAUUGUUGCCCUGAGCUAUACCCCAAAUGGGAAGAGAAUUAGUGGGUGCACCUUGGCAGAGUCCUGAGACACAGCUGCCUCUGGGGAUGGGGACAGGGUGGUCAUUCUCUGCUCGCAAGAGGAUGUGGAAUGGGCCCAGUCCCAGCCACUUCUGCCCCCCACCAUACCCCAAACCUUUUCACCCCUCCAACUAUCAGCUGCCGGUCUUCCCUCGCUGCUACCCCUUCCUGACUGGUAGAGAACCUCUAAGCUCUGGCCUCUUCUCUUUGCUUCUGAAAGUUGCCUUGCCCAGGGCUUUGCUGCCUGUGUGAAUGGCAGGUAGGGAUGGAGAGCCAUCACUUUUUGUGUAUUUACUGAAUAUUCAUCUAGUCACUGACACCUUGAUUAAUGCAGAGUUAAGGUUGCCCAGCAGUAUGUUGGGCCCUGCCAGAAUAUCAAGUUCAGCAAAAGUCAAACCUCCAAAAACUAGGAAAUACAGAGCUAAUGUACACACCAAUGCAACCUUAACUCUACCUCCUGGAGCUGUCAACAGCCACUGGGCAUUCUCUACCUGUACUCCAGCUGCACUCCCUGUGUUAGGUGUAGCUGCACUGAAAGGUAGAGGCAUUAGUUAGAACAGCUUGGUGGAGGUGUGAUUGUGAUAUGAGACGAUCUGGGUCUGAGUCCCCCACGUGUGCGAUGAAAGGAAAGAGAUGCGUGUGUACCUUAAGCUUCCAGUCUGUAUCAUAGAAUCAUAGAA